rnacentral:rRNA from 1 species
UACGUAGGGGCCGAGCGUUGUCCGGAGUUACUGGGCGUAAAGCGCGCGCAGGCGGCUCGUCAAGCCUGACGUGAAAGCCCCCGGCUCAACCGGGGAGGGUCGUCGGGGACUGGCGGGCUUGAGGUCGGCAGGGGUUGGUGGAAUUCCCGGUGUAGUGGUGAAAUGCGUAGAGAUCGGGAGGAACAUCAGUGGCGAAGGCGGCCAUCUGGGCAGUUGCUGACACUGAGGCGCGACAGCGUGGGGAGCAAACAGG